rnacentral:rRNA from 1 species
AGCUUCAGUAGCGUAUAUUAAAGUUGUUGCAUUUAAAAAGCUCGUAGUUGGUGAUUCGCUAUUGUCUGAUAUUUGCUUUGGUAAAUAAUAGACGAGAGCUGAUAUUUGGUCGUAAGACCACGCACACUGUGAGUAAAUUAGAGGGAUCUAAACAGGCUCUGCCAGAAUGUUUCAGCAUGGUAUGGGUUCUCGACUGCGUCGGUUUUCGGCUUGCCGAUGUUGCCGACGAAGUAAAGGUUAAUAGGGAUGGAUGAUGGGAUUCGUAUUGAGUUGCUAGAGGUGAAAUUCUUGGACCAACUCAAGACGUCCAGAAGCGAAAGCUUUUCCCACAGAUGCUCUUA